rnacentral:rRNA from 1 species
AUUGAACGCUGGCGGCAGGCCUAACACAUGCAAGUCGAGCGAGCGGCGGACGGGUGAGUAAUGUAUGGGGAUCUGCCCGGUAGAGGGGGAUAACUACUGGAAACUGUCGCCAAUCCCGCAUCCUAUCGUGUGACCCCAUAUGGGAUUCGCUAGUAGGUGGGGUAAAGGCUCACCUAGGCGACGAUCUCUAGCUGCUCUGAGAGGAUGAACAGCCACACUGGAACUGAGACACGGCCCAGACUCCUACGGGAGGCAGCAGUGGGGAAUAUUGCACAAUGGGCGCAAGCCUGAUGCAGCCAUGCCGCGUGUAUGAAGAAGGCCUUAGGGUUGUAAAGUACUUUCAGCGGGGAGGCGUUACCCGCAGAAGAAGCACCGGCUAACUCCGUGCCAGCAGCCGCGGUAAUUC